GACGAACGCUGGCGGCGUGCUUAACACAUGCAAGUCGAACGAUGAAGCCUAGCUUGCUAGGUGGAUUAGUGGCGAACGGGUGAGUAAUACGUGAGUAACCUACCUUUAACUCUGGGAUAAGCCCGGGAAACUGGGUCUAAUACCGGAUACGACCAAUCUGCGCAUGGGGUGUUGGUGGAAAGCGUUAUGUAGUGGUUAUAGAUGGGCUCACGGCCUAUCAGCUUGUUGGUGAGGUAACGGCUCACCAAGGCGACGACGGGUAGCCGGCCUGAGAGGGUGACCGGCCACACUGGGACUGAGACACGGCCCAGACUCCUACGGGAGGCAGCAGUGGGGAAUAUUGCACAAUGGGCGCAAGCCUGAUGCAGCGACGCCGCGUGAGGGAUGACGGCCUUCGGGUUGUAAACCUCUGUUAGCAGGGAAGAAGAGAGAUUGACGGUACCUGCAGAGAAAGCGCCGGCUAACUACGUG
rnacentral:rRNA from 1 species